UCACUUACCUGGAUGGGGUCAAUGGGUGAUCAAGAAGGUCCAUGGCCUAGGUUGGUGACCUCCAUUGCACUCAGGAGGGGUGCCUGCGUAAGGUCGGCCCAAGUGGUCGAGCCUACAUCAUAAUUUGUGGCAGUGGGGGCUUGCGUUCGCGCAGUCCCUGC
rnacentral:snRNA from 1 species